UACGUAGGGUGCAAGCGUUUAAUCGGAAUUACUGGGCGUAAAGCGUGCGCAGGCGGCUUUGCAAGACAGAUGUGAAAUCCCCGGGCUUAACCUGGGGAACUGCAUUUGUGACUGCAUGGCUGGAGUGCGGCAGAGGGGGAUGGAAUUCCGCGUGUAGCAGUGAAAUGCGUAGAUAUGCGGAGGAACACCGAUGGCGAAGGCAAUCCCCCUGGGCCUGCACUGACGCUCAUGCACGAAAGCGUGGGGAGCAAACAGG
rnacentral:rRNA from 1 species